rnacentral:rRNA from 1 species
AUUGAACGCUGGCGGCAGGCCUAACACAUGCAAGUCGAACGAGUGGCGGACGGGUGAGUAAUGCCUGGGAAACUGCCUGAUGGAGGGGGAUAACUACUGGAAACGGUAGCUAAUACCGCAUACCAUCGGAUGUGCCCAGAUCGGAUUAGCUAGUGGGUGGGGUAAAGGCUCACCUAGGCGACGAUCCCUAGCUGGUCUGAGAGUAUGACCGUCAACACUGGAACGGAGACACGGCCCAGCCUCCGACGGGAGGCAGCAGUGGGGAAUAUUGCACAAUGGGGGCAAGCCUGAUGCAGCCAUGCCGCGUGUAUGAAGCGGGCCUUCGGGUUGUAAAGUACGUUCAGCGGGGAGGCGUUACCCGCAGAAGAAGCACCGGCUAACUCCGUGCCAGCAGCCGCGGUAAUUC